rnacentral:lncRNA from 1 species
UCCAAGUGUUUCAUGAAGGUGCUUCUGAUUUUCUUCUAUUUCAUUUCUCAUUUGCUUGUCGACAGGCACUCUGGUCAAUGAUCUGGCUCUUAUUGGGAAGUUCUGAGCUAUGUCUUUCAUCACCUUUAAGGCAUCAUAAGCAGGGGAAGACAUAAUUCGAGCAGCUGCUUGAAAGCUAAGAUCUUGUAAUUCCCAAACCUUUAGUGGUUCCAUGCUGUUUGUAGUUUCAAUUAGAUGUUUUUUAAACUCUUUUAGAUUAUUUUUCAGGUCAGGAUGCAAUUGUUUUAAUUUGCCAAAGAGAAAUCCUUGAACAUCACUUUCCUCCUCCUCAUCAUCUUCCUCCUUUUUGGUUUCAUUUGUUACUUUAACCUGUGUGUCAUCUACUGCUUUGUAUUCCGUGCUCUUUAUUGCAAGCUCUACACCAUAUCCAGAUAAAUACAUUUUUCUGGAGCGGGGUUUCUGAAUAUAAUGCCGGAGAACAUAAACAAUUUCCUCCUUUUGAGCCUUCUCGGAUAAAAUUUUAUGGAACUUAACAAAGUCUCUUGUACCCAUUUCUGCAUAAAGAACAACAAUUGGG